rnacentral:rRNA from 1 species
CCUACGGGAGGCAGCAGUGAGGAAUAUUGGUCAAUGGGCGGAAGCCUGAACCAGCAAAGGCGCGUGAGGGAAUAAGGCCCUAAGGGUCGUAAACCUCUUUUGCCGGGGAGCAAGGGCGUGGACGUGUCCCGGCCCGGAGAGUACCCGGAGAAAAAGCAUCGGCUAACUCCGUGCCAGCAGCCGCGGUAAUACGGAGGAUGCGAGCGUUAUCCGGAUUGAUUGGGUUUAAAGGAUGAGUAGGCGGGCUUUUAAGUCAGCGGUAAAAAUUCGGGGCUCAACCCCGUCCAGCCGUUGAAACUGGGGGCCUUGAGUGGGCGAGAAGAGGGCGGAAUGCGUGGUGUAGCGGUGAAAUGCGUAGAUAUCACGCAGAACCCCGAUUGCGAAGGCAGCCUUCCGGCGCCCUACUGACGCUGAGGCACGAAAGUGCGGGGAGCGAACAGGAUUAGAUACCCGAGUAGUC